UGGAUCCAGACUUUGAUUAUGGCUCAGGAUGAACGCUAGCUACAGGCUUAACACAUGCAAGUCGAGGGGAAACGACAUCGAAAGCUUGCUUUUGAUGGGCGUCGACCGGCGCACGGGUGAGUAACGCGUAUCCAACCUGCCCAUCACUUGGGGAUAACUUUGCGAAAGUAAGACUAAUACCCAAUGACGUCUCUAGAAGACAUCUGAAAGAGAUUAAAGAUUUAUCGGUGAUGGAUGGGGAUGCGUCUGAUUAGCUUGUUGGCGGGGUAACGGCCCACCAAGGCGACGAUCAGUAGGGGUUCUGAGAGGAAGGUCCCCCACAUUGGAACUGAGACACGGUCCAAACUCCUACGGGAGGCAGCAGUGAGGAAUAUUGGUCAAUGGGCGAGAGCCUGAACCAGCCAAGUAGCGUGCAGGAAGACGGCCCUAUGGGUUGUAAACUGCUUUUAUAAGGGAAUAAAGUGAGUCUCGUGAGACUUUUUGCAUGUACCUUAUGAAUAAGGACCGGCUAAUUCCGUGCCAGCAGCCGCGGUAAUACGGAAGGUCCGGGCGUUAUCCGGAUUUAUUGGGUUUAAAGGGAGCGUAGGCCGGAGAUUAAGCGUGUUGUGAAAUGUAGACGCUCAACGUCUGCACUGCAGCGCGAACUGGUUUCCUUGAGUACGCACAAAGUGGGCGGAAUUCGUGGUGUAGCGGUGAAAUGCUUAGAUAUCACGAAGAACUCCGAUUGCGAAGGCAGCUCACUGGAGCGCAACUGACGCUGAAGCUCGAAAGUGCGGGUAUCGAACAGGAUUAGAUACCCUGGUAGUCCGCACGGUAAACGAUGGAUGCCCGCUGUUGGUCUGAAUAGGUCAGCGGCCAAGCGAAAGCAUUAAGCAUCCCACCUGGGGAGUACGCCGGCAACGGUGCAACUCAAAGGAAUUGACGGA
rnacentral:rRNA from 1 species